rnacentral:rRNA from 1 species
GUGGGGAAUAUUGGACAAUGGGCGAAAGCCUGAUCCAGCCAUGCCGCGUGUGUGAAGAAGGUCUUCGGAUUGUAAAGCACUUUAAGUUGGGAGGAAGGGCAGUAAGUUAAUACCUUGCUGUUUUGACGUUACCGACAGAAUAAGCACCGGCUAACUUCGUGCCAGCAGCCGCGGUAAUACGAAGGGUGCAAGCGUUAAUCGGAAUUACUGGGCGUAAAGCGCGCGUAGGUGGUUUUGUAAGUUGGAGGUGAAAUCCCCGGGCUCAACCUGGGAACUGCCUCCAAAACUGCAUGACUAGAGUACGGUAGAGGGUAGUGGAAUUUCCUGUGUAGCGGUGAAAUGCGUAGAUAUAGGAAGGAACACCAGUGGCGAAGGCGACUACCUGGACUGAUACUGACACUGAGGUGCGAAAGCGUGGGGAGCAAACAGGAUUAAAAACCCUGGUAGUCC